rnacentral:rRNA from 1 species
GUGGGGAAUAUUGGGCAAUGGGCGAAAGCCUGACCCAGCAACGCCGCGUGAAGGAAGAAGGCCCUCGGGUUGUAAACUUCUUUUAUCAGGGACGAAACAAAUGACGGUACCUGAUGAAUAAGCCACGGCUAACUACGUGCCAGCAGCCGCGGUAAUACGUAGGUGGCAAGCGUUAUCCGGAUUUACUGGGUGUAAAGGGCGUGUAGGCGGGCCUGCAAGUCAGGUGUGAAAUUCCAGGGCUCAACCCUGGAACUGCACUUGAAACUGUGGGUCUUGAGUGAUGGAGAGGCAGGCGGAAUUCCGUGUGUAGCGGUGAAAUGCGUAGAUAUACGGAGGAACACCAGUGGCGAAGGCGGCCUGCUGGACAUUAACUGACGCUGAGGCGCGAAAGCGUGGGGAGCAAACAGGAUUAGAAACCCUAGUAGUCC